UUAUCCGGAUUUAUUGGGUUUAAAGGGAGCGCAGGCGGACGCUUAAGUCAGUUGUGAAAGUUUGCGGCUCAACCGUAAAAUUGCAGUUGAUACUGGGUGUCUUGAGUACAGUAGAGGCAGGCGGAAUUCGUGGUGUAGCGGUGAAAUGCUUAGAUAUCACGAAGAACUCCGAUUGCGAAGGCAGCUUGCUGGACUGUAACUGACGCUGAUGCUCGAAAGUGUGGGUAUCAAACAGGAUUAGAUACCCUGGUAGUCCACACAGUAAACGAUGAAUACUCGCUGUUUGCGAUAUACAGUAAGCGGCCAAGCGAAAGCGUUAAGUAUUCCACCUGGGGAGUACGCCGGCAACGGUGAAACUCAA
rnacentral:rRNA from 1 species